rnacentral:rRNA from 1 species
UACGUAGGUGGCAAGCGUUUUCCGGAAUUAUUGGGCGUAAAGCGCGCGCAGGCGGUUAUGUAAGUCUGAUGUUAAAGCCCGGGGCUCAACCUCGGUUCGCAUUGGAAACUGUGUAACUUGAGAGCAGAAGAGGAAAGUGGUAUUCCACGUGUAGCGGUGAAAUGCGUAGAGAUGUGGAGGAACACCAGUGGCGAAGGCGACUUUCUGGUCUGUAACUGACGCUGAGGCGCGAAAGCGUGGGGAGCAAACAGG